CCUACGGGAGGCAGCAGUGGGGAAUUUUGGACAAUGGGGGGCAACCCUGAUCCAGCCAUUCCGCGUGAGUGAAGAAGGCCUUCGGGUUGUAAAGCUCUUUUGUCCGGAGCGAAACGGGCGGUCCUAAUACGAUCGUCUACUGACGGUACCGGAAGAAUAAGCACCGGCUAACUACGUGCCAGCAGCCGCGGUAAUACGUAGGGUGCGAGCGUUAAUCGGAAUUACUGGGCGUAAAGCGUGCGCAGGCGGUUUUGUAAGCCAGAUGUGAAAUCCCCGGGCUUAACCUGGGAAUGGCAUUUGGGACUGCAAGGCUGGAGUAUGGCAGAGGGGGCUAGAAUUCCUGGUGUAGCAGUGAAAUGCGUAGAUAUCGGGAGGAACACCAGUGGCGAAGGCGGCAUCCUGGCCCUGUCCUGACGCUCAGGGGCGAAAGCGUGGGGGAGCAAACCGGAUUAGAUACCCGGGUAGUCCACGCCGUAAACGAUGAGCACUAGGGGUAGGGGGUAUCGACCCCCUCUGUCCCCGAAGCUAACGCGAUAAGUGCUCCGCCUGGGGACUACGGCCGCAAGGCUAAAACUCAAAGGAAUUUGACG
rnacentral:rRNA from 1 species